ensembl:lncRNA
CAGUUCAUAAUGAGCGGCAGGCUCGGGGCUGAGUGUGUUAAUCAGGAAGCACGGAGAUGUUAGCCGGGGUCACAGGAAAGUACACAUUACUCAGCCUUCCACAACCCGCCUUUAAACAGCUGGAGGACUUAUGUGACUUCAGGCAGUGAUUGACAGUGUAAAGCUAGAUUUCAUUAUAUGGGCACUUUCCUUUUAGCCUCUGUUUUCUUUUUUAUGCUCACUUGCUCACAAUUUCAUUUAACUUUUUUUUGCAAAGUAUUAAGUUCAGGAAUGUAUUUGAUGUCCUCUUUCGAUGUACAAGUUUUAUCAAAAAAUUCUGAUAUUUGUAAAUGCUUUUUUGAUACAGCUGAAUUGAUCUAAUACAGAAAAAAGGGGGCUUUGAGUGUUGAUUUCAGAGGAUGCAUGUCUGUAUCUGUUCCCACAGGAAUCAAUAGCUCCUCAUACUGAAGAAGUCAGGGCAACAAAGAGUAAUAUCCUGGAAUCCCUUGGUUCUCUCCCACUGUGCCCAAAUCAUCCACCUAAAUCUCCUCUUGUUCAUUUUUUCAUUCCUUCUGUCCCUCUUUCCCACGUGUAUCAACAUCAGAGCAUCUUGUCGUGCUCCCUGCUCUCUCUCUUUCUUUAUCUUCCUUUCUGUUAAUCCCACUGACUUUACAGUAUCGUUCCUCAUCUGUUUUCUUAUCUUCUUUCUUUACUGUUACAUCACGUUUUUAUUUGUUUUCUUUUUAAACCUGGCCGCCCAUAACCUCUUAAAACCCCCACAAAGCAUCUGUCCCACCCUCUCAGCUCCAUCUGUGGCUGUUUUCAUACCUUCUGUCCUGCUAUUCCCAUGUGCCUUGUCCUGUUCUGCCCCCUGUUUAUCUCACUUUGACCUUCCUCUCUCUCUUUCUGACCCCACCCGUACCUCCAUCUUCUCCCGCGUGGCCAUGCUGGAACGCAUGUCCCGUCGCUCUCGCUCCCUGCUCUCCCUCACCUUGACCUCUUUGGCUCUGGCCCUCUCCAUCCUGGCUCUCUGCACCUCAUACUGGUGUGAGGGCACUCACAAGGUGGUCAAGCCCCUCUGCCUGUCGCCUGUCAAAAUGAAGAACUGCGGUCAGAACAACAGUGAGCCUUACACCACAGAGAGUCCCACUCAGAACCCC